CCGCGCUAGCCGGGGAGGCAGCGGAUCCCUGUACCCGCAAUCCGCUACAGCGGGGGUGACGCGCGCUUUAGGCUCCUUCCCUGUGGGGUCUGACCGCGGUAAGUGGUGUUGACGGCUGAGUCUCCCGCAAUAGGCGUUUGUGAACCGUGUCAGGUCCGGAAGGAAGCAGCGCUAAGCAAAAUGUCCUAUGUGCCGGGAGGGCGCUUGGUUCGAGCUAACUGCCGUGAUAUCGCCUGGAGGGAAAUGUCAACAGCGCGCGCGCGG
rnacentral:SRP_RNA from 1 species